AUCCAGCUGAUGAGUUCCAAAUUGGACGAAAGGCAUGUCCUGGAU
rfam:Schistosoma margrebowiei strain Zambia genome assembly, scaffold: SMRZ_scaffold0001630